GACAGCUAAGUUGCUAGAGCGUGAGACUCUUAAUCUCGGGGCCGUGGGUUUCAGCCCCAUGUCG